rnacentral:lncRNA from 1 species
UUUCUGAGGAAGCUCAGUCUCCCUUAUCGUAUCAAAAUGCAAGACAGGAUACCAUCACAUUAAAAAAUCCUCACCAAUACCCAUUGAAACGAGCAAUAUCGUUUGAUAGUUGGAAAGCAACAUGUCCGGCUGCUAAGGUUAUCAGAGAACCAGCUGAAGACCAACAUAUGGAUUAUGAGUCAUCAUUUCAUGAAACAAGGACACCUGCUGCCACUUAUGCAUGGAAGACCCCGGGUCUUUGUCACAGAAGUUCUUCCCCAAACCAUUAUGAGUCAACGAGUCCUAGUGGAAGAUGGGCAUCUCCC